rnacentral:rRNA from 1 species
GACGAACGCUGGCGGCGUGCCUAAUACAUGCAAGUCGAACGCACUCUCGUUUAGAUUGAAGGAGCUUGCUCCUGAUUGAUAAACAUUUGAGUGAGUGGCGGACGGGUGAGUAACACGUGGGUAACCUGCCCUAAAGUGGGGGAUAACAUUUGGAAACAGAUGCUAAUACCGCAUAAAACCUAACACCGCAUGGUGUAGGGUUGAAAGAUGGUUUCGGCUAUCACUUUAGGAUGGACCCGCGGUGCAUUAGUUAGUUGGUGAGGUAAAGGCUCACCAAGACCGUGAUGCAUAGCCGACCUGAGAGGGUAAUCGGCCACACUGGGACUGAGACACGGCCCAGACUCCUACGGGAGGCAGCAGUAGGGAAUCUUCCACAAUGGACGAAAGUCUGAUGGAGCAACGCCGCGUGAGUGAAGAAGGUUUUCGGAUCGUAAAACUCUGUUGUUGGAGAAGGAAUGUAUCUGAUAGUAACUGAUCAGGUAGUGACGGUAUCCAACCAGAAA